CCUAACACAUGCAAGUCGAACGGUAACAGGAAGCAGCUUGCUGCUUUGCUGACGAGUGGCGGACGGGUGAGUAAUGUCUGGGAAACUGCCUGAUGGAGGGGGAUAACUACUGGAAACGGUAGCUAAUACCGCAUAACGUCGCAAGACCAAAGAGGGGGACCUUCGGGCCUCUUGCCAUCGGAUGUGCCCAGAUGGGAUUAGCUAGUAGGUGGGGUAACGGCUCACCUAGGCGACGAUCCCUAGCUGGUCUGAGAGGAUGACCAGCCACACUGGAACUGAGACACGGUCCAGACUCCUACGGGAGGCAGCAGUGGGGAAUAUUGCACAAUGGGCGCAAGCCUGAUGCAGCCAUGCCGCGUGUAUGAAGAAGGCCUUCGGGUUGUAAAGUACUUUCAGCGGGGAGGAAGGGAGUAAAGUUAAUACCUUUGCUCAUUGACGUUACCCGCAGAAGAAGCACCGGCUAACUCCGUGCCAGCAGCCGCGGUAAUACGGAGGGUGCAAGCGUUAAUCGGAAUUACUGGGCGUAAAGCGCACGCAGGCGGUUUGUUAAGUCAGAUGUGAAAUCCCCGGGCUCAACCUGGGAACUGCAUCUGAUACUGGCAAGCUUGAGUCUCGUAGAGGGGGGUAGAAUUCCAGGUGUAGCGGUGAAAUGCGUAGAGAUCUGGAGGAAUACCGGUGGCGAAGGCGGCCUCCUGGACGAAGACUGACGCUCGGUGCGAAAGCGUGGGGAGCAAACAGGAUUAGAU
rnacentral:rRNA from 1 species